rnacentral:lncRNA from 1 species
CCACCAGAGAGAGGAAGGAGCACAGCCGCCAAGGCGCCGAGGAGGAGUCCUCCUGCUCCCCCCUACCCCCUCCCCGGCACCCCCCUUCUCCUCCUCCCCCUCGCCGCAUGGAUCCGCACGGAUCCGUCAGCGGAGGGGUCUCUAGCACGCCGGCGGCUCGACUUCGAGGGGGAUCUGCUUUGAGCGGGGUCAAUGGCCGGGGAGUCGCGCCGGACGAUGCGUCACGGCGG